GGAUGCUGCAGUUAAAGGGUCCGUAGUCUGCCUGGCGGGGGAGCGAGGAAAGGGCUGUGCUCAAGGCGGCGCGAGCGCGGGCCCCGGGGCGAGAGGAACGGACGACGGGCGCGGGAUCCGGGGGCGAGAGGUGAAAAUCGGGGACCCUCUGGGGACGAGCGGAGGCGAAGGCGGCGCCCGGGGACGUGUCCGUUGAUCAAGGACGAAGGCCGGAGGAGCAAAGAUGAUUAGAGACCGUCGUAGUUCCGGCAGUAAACGAUGCCGACGGGGCGAGGCCGGGGGGCUGUGUCCGGGAGAAAUCGGAGUGUUUGGGCUCUGGGGAUAGUACGCUCGCAAGAGUGA
rnacentral:rRNA from 1 species